rnacentral:rRNA from 1 species
GACGAACGCUGGCGGCGUGCUUAACACAUGCAAGUCGAACGGAAAGGCCCUGCUUGCAGGGUACUCGAGUGGCGAACGGGUGAGUAACACGGGGGUGAUCUGCCCUGCACUUCUGGAUAAGCUUGGGAAACUGGGUCUAAUACCGGAUAGGAGCCAUCUUUAGUGUGGUGGUUGGGAAGUUUUUUCGGUGUAGGAUGAGCUCGCGGCCUAUCAGCUUGUUGGUGGGGUAAUGGCCUACCAAGGCGGCGACGGGUAGCCGGCCUGAGAGGGUGUACGGACACACUGGGACUGAGCUACGGCCCAGACUCCUACGGGAGGCAGCAGUGGGGAAUAUUGCACAAUGGGCGCACGCCUGAUGCAGCGACGCCGCGUGGGGGAUGAAGGCCUUUGGGUUGUAAACUCCUUUCGCUAGGGACGACGCUUUGUUGUGACGGUACCUAGAUAAGAAGCACCGGCUAACUACGUG